AGUAGCGGGGACUACAGGCAAACGCCACUUAAUAUCACUCCUGAAUUUCUAGCUUUCUUCUGGGAGUGGUGGGAGGGAAGUUCAUUCCCCUUAAAGUAAACCAUAAGCAACUGAAGUACAAUGAAACACAGUUACAUGGGACGGGGAGAGACCGUUAUACUAUGUAAGGCAUCAACAAACUGCCAUAUCAGAGGAGUAAAGAACUCACUCCCAUGGAAGCAGUAGGAAAGCCAGCAGAGAAUACACAAGCGCCAUGACAAAUGAUGAGAGGGGUUUACUAAGUAAAAAUGAAGAAGGACAUUUCAGCAGUAGAAAAAAAGCUGUGCAAAGGCAAAGAAGUAAAAGUCAAGAAAAUGUGUUCAAUGUGACUGGAAAUUAGCUGGAGACAAU